AGAGUUUGAUCCUGGCUCAGGACGAACGCUGGCGGCACGCUUAACACAUGCAAGUCGAACGAGAGAAGAGGAGCUUGCUUUUCUGAUCUAGUGGCGGACGGGUGAGUAACACGUGAGCAAUCUGCCUUUCAGAGGGGGAUACCGAUUGGAAACGAUCGUUAAUACCGCAUAACAUAAUUGAACCGCAUGAUUUGAUUAUCAAAGAUUUGUCGCUGAAAGAUGAGCUCGCGUCUGAUUAGCUAGUUGGUAAGGUAACGGCUUACCAAGGCGACGAUCAGUAGCCGGACUGAGAGGUUGAUCGGCCACAUUGGGACUGAGACACGGCCCAGACUCCUACGGGAGGCAGCAGUGGGGAAUAUUGCACAAUGGAGGAAACUCUGAUGCAGCGAUGCCGCGUGAGGGAAGAAGGUUUUAGGAUUGUAAACCUCUGUCUUCAGGGACGAAAAAAGACGGUACCUGAGGAGGAAGCUCCGGCUAACUACGUGCCAGCAGCCGCGGUAAUACGUAGGGAGCGAGCGUUGUCCGGAAUUACUGGGUGUAAAGGGAGCGUAGGCGGGAUCGCAAGUCAGAUGUGAAAACUAUGGGCUUAACCCAUAAACUGCAUUUGAAACUGUGGUUCUUGAGUGAAGUAGAGGUAAGCGGAAUUCCUAGUGUAGCGGUGAAAUGCGUAGAUAUUAGGAGGAACAUCAGUGGCGAAGGCGGCUUACUGGGCUUUAACUGACGCUGAGGCUCGAAAGCGUGGGGAGCAAACAGGAUUAGAUACCCUGGUAGUCCACGCCGUAAACGAUGAUUACUAGGUGUGGGGGGACUGACCCCUUCCGUGCCGCAGCAAACGCAAUAAGUAAUCCACCUGGGGAGUACGACCGCAAGGUUGAAACUCAAAGGAAUUGACGGGGGCCCGCACAAGCAGUGGAGUAUGUGGAUUAAUUCGAAGCAACGCGAAGAACCUUACCAGGUCUUGACAUCGUAUGCAUAGCUCAGAGAUGAGUGAAAUCUCUUCGGAGACAUAUAGACAGGUGGUGCAUGGUUGUCGUCAGCUCGUGUCGUGAGAUGUUGGGUUAAGUCCCGCAACGAGCGCAACCCUUACUGUUAGUUGCUACGCAAGAGCACUCUAGCAGGACUGCCGUUGACAAAACGGAGGAAGGUGGGGAUGACGUCAAAUCAUCAUGCCCCUUAUGACCUGGGCCUCACACGUACUACAAUGGCUGUCAACAGAGGGAAGCAAAGCCGCGAGGUGGAGCGAACCCCUAAAAGCAGUCUUAGUUCGGAUUGUAGGCUGCAACCCGCCUACAUGAAGUCGGAAUUGCUAGUAAUCGCAGAUCAGCAUGCUGCGGUGAAUACGUUCCCGGGCCUUGUACACACCGCCCGUCACGCCAUGGGAGUCGGUAACACCCGAAGCCUGUAGUCUAACCGCAAGGAGGACGCAGUCGAAGGUGGGAUUGAUGACUGGGGUGAAGUCGUAACAAGGUA
rnacentral:rRNA from 1 species